CCUACGUGGGGCUGCAGUGAGGAAUAUUGGUCAAUGUACGAGAGUCUGAACCAGCCAAGUAGCGUGAAGGAUGACUGCCCUAUGGGUUGUAAACUUCUUUUAUAUAGGAAUAAAAUGUUACACGUGUGGGAUUUUGUAUGUACUUUAUGAAUAAGGAUCGGCUAACACCGUGCCAGCAGCCGCGGUAAUACGGAGGAUCCGAGCGUUAUCCGGAUUUAUUGGGUUUAAAGGGAGCGUAGGUGGAUUGUUAAGUCAGUUGUGAAAGUUUGCGGCUCAACCGUAAAAUUGCAGUUGAAACUGGCAGUCUUGAGUACAGUCGAGGUAGGCGGAAUUCGUGGUGUAGCGGUGAAAUGCUUAGAGAUCACGAAGAACACCGAUUGCGAAGGCAGUUCACUGAACUGCAACUGACACUGAGGCUCGAAAGUGUGGGUAGCAAACAGGAUUAGAUACCCCAGUAGUC
rnacentral:rRNA from 1 species